GUAGUCCUAGCCGUAAACGGUGCGCAUUAGAGGUGGGAGGAUUCGACCCCUUCCGUCUUGCAGCUAACGCGUUAAAUGCGCCGCCUGGGGAGUACGGUCGCAAGAUUAAAACUCAAAGAAAUUGACGGGGGCCCGCACAAGCGGUGGAGCAUGUGGCUUAAUUCGAUGCAACGCGAAGAACCUUACCUGGCCUUGACAUGUACGUAGUAGAAGGAUGAAAGUCUAACGAGAUAGCAAUAUCAGCGUACACAGGUGCUGCAUGGCUGUCGUCAGCUCGUGCCGUGAGGUGUUCGGUUAAGUCCGGUAACGAGCGCAACCCCUAUGACUUGUUGCUAAUCCAGCAAUGGAAGCACUCUAGUCAGACUGCCCUGCAUAACGGGGA
rnacentral:rRNA from 1 species